rnacentral:rRNA from 1 species
CCUACGGGUGGCUGCAGUGAGGAAUAUUGGUCAAUGGGCGCGAGCCUGAACCAGCCACGUAGCGUGAAGGAUGACUGCCCUACGGGUUGUAAACUUCUUUUAUAAAGGAAUAAAGUGAGGCACGUGUGCCUUUUUGUAUGUACUUUAUGAAUAAGGCUCGGCUAACUCCGUGACAGCAGCCUCGGUAAUACGGAGGAUCCGAGUGUUAUCCGGAUUUAUUGGGUUUAGAGGGAGCGUAGAUGGGUUGUUAAGUCAGUUGUGAAAGUUUGCGGCUCAACCGUAAAAUUGCAAUUGAUACUGGCAGUCUGGAGUACAGGUGAGGUAAGCGGAAUUCGUGGUGUAGCGGUGAAAUGCUUAGAUAUCACGAAGAACUCCGAUUGCGAAGGCAGCUUACUAAACUGCCACUGACAUUGAGGCUCGAAAGUGUGGGUAUCAAACAGGAUUAGAUACCCGGGUAGUC